GAUGAACGCUGACAGCAUGCUUAACACAUGCAAGUCGACUUGAACUUCGGUUUGGGUGGCGGACGGGUGAGUAACGCGUAAAGAACUUGCCUCACAGUUAGGGACAACAUUUGGAAACGAAUGCUAAUACCUGAUAUUAUGAUUUUAGGGCAUCCUAGAAUUAUGACAGCUAUAUGCGCUGUGAGAGAGCUUUGCGUCCCAUUAGCUAGUUGGAGAGGUAACGGCUCACCAAGGCGAUGAUGGGUAGCCGGCCUGAGAGGGUGAACGGCCACAAGGGGACUGAGACACGGCCCGUACUCCUACGGGAGGCAGCAGUGGGGAAUAUUGGACAAUGGACCAAGAGUCUGAUCCAGCAAUUCUGUGUGCACGAUGAAGUUUUUCGGAAUGUAAAGUGCUUUCAGUUGGGAAGAAAAAAAUGACGAUACCAACAGAAGAAGUGACGGCUAAAUACGUG
rnacentral:rRNA from 1 species